ACACCCUCAAGCUCUGCUUGGUGUUGGGCGUCUGUCCCGCCUCCGCGCGUGGACUCGCCCCAAAUCCAUUGGCAGCGUCCCUUGCCCCCUCUCGCGCAGCACAUUGCGCUUCUCGAGGGCGGCUCCGGGGCGCGACCCACCGAAGAUGACCACCGU
rnacentral:misc_RNA from 1 species